UUUUUUCGCGAAUGUAUAUUGGAGGA
rnacentral:piRNA from 2 species